rnacentral:rRNA from 1 species
GGGUUGUGAGGUUAAGCGACUAAGCGUACACGGUGGAUGCCCUGGCAGUCAGAGGCGAUGAAGGACGUGCUAAUCUGCGAAAAGCGUCGGUAAGGUGAUAUGAACCGUUACAGCCGGCGAUGUCCGAAUGGGGAAACCCAGUGUGAUUCGUCACACUAUCGUUAACUGAAUACAUAGGUUAACGAGGCGAACCGGGGGAACUGAAACAUCUAAGUACCCCGAGGAAAAGAAAUCAACCGAGAUUCCCCCAGUAGCGGCGAGCGAACGGGGAGCAGCCCAGAGUCUGAAUCAGCUUGUGUGUUAGUGGAACGGUCUGGAAAGUCCGACGGUACAGGGUGAUAGUCCCGUACACCAAAAUGCACAGGCUGUGAACUCGAAGAGUAGGGCGGGACACGUGGUAUCCUGUCUGAAUAUGGGGGGACCAUCCUCCAAGGCUAAAUACUCCUGACUGACCGAUAGUGAACCAGUACCGUGAGGGAAAGGCGAAAAGAACCCCGGCGAGGGGAGUGAAAAAGAACCUGAAACCGUGUACGUACAAGCAGUGGGAGCACCUUUAUGGUGUGACUGCGUACCUUUUGUAUAAUGGGUCAGCGACUUAUAUUCUGUAGCAAGGUUAACCGUAUAGGGGAGCCGCAGGGAAACCGAGUCUUAACUGGGCGUUAAGUUGCAGGGUAUAGACCCGAAACCCGGUGAUCUAGCCAUGGGCAGGUUGAAGGUUGGGUAACACUAACUGGAGGACCGAACCGACUAAUGUUGAAAAAUUAGCGGAUGACUUGUGGCUGGGGGUGAAAGGCCAAUCAAACCGGGAGAUAGCUGGUUCUCCCCGAAAGCUAUUUAGGUAGCGCCUCGUGAAUUCAUCUUCGGGGGUAGAGCACUGUUUCGGCUAGGGGGUCAUCCCGACUUACCAACCCGAUGCAAACUACGAAUACCGAAGAAUGUUAUCACGGGAGACACACGGCGGGUGCUAACGUCCGUCGUGAAGAGGGAAACAACCCAGACCGCCAGCUAAGGUCCCAAAGUCACAGUUAAGUGGGAAACGAUGUGGGAAGGCACAGACAGCCAGGAUGUUGGCUUAGAAGCAGCCAUCAUUUAAAGAAAGCGUAAUAGCUCACUGGUCGAGUCGGCCUGCGCGGAAGAUGUAACGGGGCUAAACUGUGCACCGAAGCUGCGGCAGCGACACUAUGUGUUGUUGGGUAGGGGAGCGUUCUGUAAGCCUGCGAAGGUGGCCUGUGAGGGUUGCUGGAGGUAUCAGAAGUGCGAAUGCUGACAUAAGUAACGAUAAUGCGGGUGAAAAGCCCGCACGCCGGAAGACCAAGGGUUCCUGUCCAACGUUAAUCGGGGCAGGGUGAGUCGACCCCUAAGGCGAGGCCGAAAGGCGUAGUCGAUGGGAAACAGGUUAAUAUUCCUGUACUUGGUGUUACUGCGAAGGGGGGACGGAGAAGGCUAUGUUAGCCGGGCGACGGUUGUCCCGGUUUAAGCAUGUAGGCGGAGGUUCCAGGUAAAUCCGGUACCUUUUAACGCUGAGGUGUGAUGACGAGGCACUACGGUGCUGAAGUAACAAAUGCCCUGCUUCCAGGAAAAGCCUCUAAGCAUCAGGUAACAUUGAAUCGUACCCCAAACCGACACAGGUGGUCAGGUAGAGAAUACCAAGGCGCUUGAGAGAACUCGGGUGAAGGAACUAGGCAAAAUGGUGCCGUAACUUCGGGAGAAGGCACGCUGAUAUGUAGGUGAAGCCCCUGCGGGUGGAGCUGAAAUCAGUCGAAGAUACCAGCUGGCUGCAACUGUUUAUUAAAAACACAGCACUGUGCAAACACGAAAGUGGACGUAUACGGUGUGACGCCUGCCCGGUGCCGGAAGGUUAAUUGAUGGGGUUAUCCGUAAGGAGAAGCUCUUGAUCGAAGCCCCGGUAAACGGCGGCCGUAACUAUAACGGUCCUAAGGUAGCGAAAUUCCUUGUCGGGUAAGUUCCGACCUGCACGAAUGGCGUAAUGAUGGCCAGGCUGUCUCCACCCGAGACUCAGUGAAAUUGAACUCGCUGUGAAGAUGCAGUGUACCCGCGGCAAGACGGAAAGACCCCGUGAACCUUUACUAUAGCUUGACACUGAACAUUGAGCCUUGAUGUGUAGGAUAGGUGGGAGGCUUUGAAGCGUGGACGCCAGUCUGCGUGGAGCCAACCUUGAAAUACCACCCUUUAAUGUUUGAUGUUCUAACGUUGGCCCCUUAUCGGGGUUGCGGACAGUGUCUGGUGGGUAGUUUGACUGGGGCGGUCUCCUCCCAAAGAGUAACGGAGGAGCACGAAGGUUAGCUAAUCCUGGUCGGACAUCAGGAGGUUAGUGCAAUGGCAUAAGCUAGCUUGACUGCGAGCGUGACGGCGCGAGCAGGUGCGAAAGCAGGUCAUAGUGAUCCGGUGGUUCUGAAUGGAAGGGCCAUCGCUCAACGGAUAAAAGGUACUCCGGGGAUAACAGGCUGAUACCGCCCAAGAGUUCAUAUCGACGGCGGUGUUUGGCACCUCGAUGUCGGCUCAUCACAUCCUGGGGCUGAAGUAGGUCCCAAGGGUAUGGCUGUUCGCCAUUUAAAGUGGUACGCGAGCUGGGUUUAGAACGUCGUGAGACAGUUCGGUCCCUAUCUGCCGUGGGCGCUGGAGAAUUGAGGGGGGCUGCUCCUAGUACGAGAGGACCGGAGUGGACGCAUCACUGGUGUUCGGGUUGUCAUGCCAAUGGCAUUGCCCGGUAGCUAAAUGCGGAAGAGAUAAGUGCUGAAAGCAUCUAAGCACGAAACUUGCCCCGAGAUGAGUUCUCCCUGAGACUUUAAGUCUCCUGAAGGAACGUUAAAGACGAUGACGUUGAUAGGUCGGGUGUGUAAGCGUAGCGAUACGUUGAGCUAACCGAUACUAAUGAACCGUGAGGCUUAACCUUACAACGCCGAAG